CUAACAUUAGGGCAGGAACGGAAGAAGAAGAGCUUACUACAGACCGUUUUCUUCUUCACAAGAAAAUCUGCAUUUCUUCUUCAUUAAAGGGCUCCAAAUGACCAGCAGAAAGAUUGUGCGGGACUUGUUUAUCUCCAAACAACCUGUUUUCCGCCGAAUAUUAGCACCGCAACAGGUGGUUUUGGGUAGAGUUACAACAAAUUUGAGGUUUGUUGGAGCAGAUAGGUAUCUGGGUAUUCGUCAUUUCGGUGUAUUCAAUGAGUUCUCCAAGAAAGUUAAAGGCGAAGUAGACAGUAAUCAAGAAUUCCAACAGUCAGUCAAGGUGUUGAAGG
rnacentral:misc_RNA from 1 species